CUCAAAGGGCUGGAGUGGUUGAAAUCUCUCUGGGGCCUCCAGAAUUGUUGCAUAAAUGUUGCAAAAAUCAGACCCGUGAGA
rnacentral:miRNA from 1 species